UGUCCCUUUCUUUUUCCCCGCGCGCUCGACGCCGCCCAUUCUUCGCAGUCCGAUGGUUUCAUCUUCACAAAACCGUCGGCGCAGGUUCUUCCUAUUUCUUCUCACCAAUCUCUUCCUUUUCCCUACCCAAGCCCUAAACUCUCCACGCCAGCGCCGACGACCUCUUUCUCCUGUGCCCUAAAAUCCUGUCGCUGAUUUUUUUCCCCUUCCUUCGCAUCGUUGUGCCCUAGAUCUACAGCGACGCCGGCCACCUUCUCCUUCUUCCGACAUCUGAGCCCUAGCACCGCCGCCGACACCUGAGCACGAGCCGACGACAGUGCCGAUCUUUCUAUUUCCCUUGAUGCUCACCAUCGCUGUGCCUUAGCACAGUCACUGAUUUUGUCUCCUUCCCUCCAGUGGUCGAUAAUUGGGAGGUAGGUACGUUGCCUUGUGAUUCAGGUGAUAUAUUGGUUUUUCUUUGUGUAAUCUUCUUCCGGUGAUGGACUAUGAGGGGAUGUGUCGGAUCAAUUUCUUGUUGUAUUCCCUGAUCAGUUCUUGUUCUUCUUCCUUGUUGCUGACCAAGGCCCCUGUUGAGGGAAGGAUUGCAGCAGGGUGUUAUGUACUGUGCAUCAAUAAUCAGGGGGUGGUGAGGGAGAGGAAAGCUCUGCCGUGAAGUACUCCAAUAGCAAACCCCGAGUUCCAACACAAAGCACGGCUGCGAAUUGAGGACUGUGAUUCGAGACGGACAUCUCGACAUCGGAAUUAGUUCGAUUCGAUCUACAUUGGAGGCG